rnacentral:lncRNA from 1 species
ACCUGCCUGCCUCACACCGGCCUCCUUCACAGGCCUGGGUAUGGAAAUGCCUCUCUUCCACCAGCCUCGAGUGGUCAAGCGCAAAGCCAUAGCAGAGAGAGCUGCGGUCCGAAAACUGUCUGUAGGCGCACGAUGCGUCGUGCUGGGAGCCAGGCCUAUCGGCGGGGUCCAGAAGCUGCGGAGAGGCCGUGUCCGUCAAGGGACUUCCGCCCCACUGGCUGUCAUGAUCAGAUUCCGAUCUUUCUGUGUGAAAUCCCGAAUACUGAAACCGAGUAGGGGAGAAAAGUCCAUUUCAAAAAUCAAUCGAUCAGUAAGAGAAAACAAACAAACAAAAAACAGCCUUUAUUUACUCUACAAGCACCCUUAAGGUCUCAUCGUCCUGAGGUCGUCAAAAUAACCGUUGCUUUGGCAUCAUGGCUGUGCACACCUAACUUGGAAUUACUUCAUUCAUUAUGAUGCUUCCAAAGAAAAUCCUUUUGGUUGAUGAAAGCAGGAGAUAAAGAUAAUAAUGGCAACCAUCGACUGAAGUACUAGGCACUGAAUGAAGUGCCUCAUAUGAACUAUCCACUUAGCUCCUGCAGUAAACCCUUAAUGGCGCUAUUAGUAUCCCCAGUUUAUGGAUAGAGAAGCUAACGCUCAGAGAGAGAAAGUGAUUUGCCCAAAGCCACAGUGUUAGCAGGUGACACAACCAAGAUUCAGACCCAGGUUCUUCGUCUACCCUAACAGUAUUGCCAAAGAGAGAUUCCAAGUACUCAGGAAUUCCAAAUUUCGUCUAAACUCCAACCAAUCCUUUUUU